CCAGAGGGAGGCAGUCAGGGACAAUGAUUGAGUUCUGGUCUGCAGUGUUUGGGGUGUUGGGAUUUCUCAUCACCUGGCAGUUGUUUCGACCUCAAAGUGCCCCUGUAUGUGGGGUGUACAGACAGCCAGGAAAAUGGUUCUGGCUCAAGAAGUUGGUCUUUUUGGUGAUUUUCAAACUGCGGCAACGUAAUCACAAGAAUGCAGCGAAGCGUCUCAGAAAAUCUCAGGAUAUGUUGGAUAAGAACCGAGGCUACGGAGCCGGAAUGCUGGAUCCAACCUCUAUGGAAACAGUUGCUCCAUUAGAUCCGGAUCCAUUUGGUAUAGAUGCUGUAUAUUUUGGUGGUUUUAACAAAGAUGGCGUACGUGUUGUUGUUCGCUACUGUCGUCGUCAUGAAAGGCGUGGGGAAAUAUGGGUAUUUUUAGAAAUACCUGGGAUCGGAGUCUUGGAGCAUCCGCUUCACCCAGACACUUACGUCGUCAACACAAAUGGUCGGGACUACACCACAGGCGGCCUAAAGAUCGAAAUGGUAGAACCAAUGAAAACAUGGAAAUUAUCGUAUGACGGCACUUUAAGACAUGGGCUAUGUAACAGUUUAGAAAACAAAGGUGAAAAACUUGUGCAAGUGAAAUUUUCAUUCAGGUGGUGUUGUUAUACCGAUCCAUUCAGUUUUGACACGGAUAUAAGUCCAUCAGCCAUAGCAGACGCCAUCGCCAGGGAAAGCUGGGACCAAGAAUUCUGGAAUAGAUUAAAAAGUAAACAUCAGACCCACUAUGAACAGUGGGGUGAGAUGUCCGGCUUACUACAGGUGGAGGGUUACGAGGAUGUCCGGCUUACUCUCAACACAGUACGCGACCAUUCUUACGGAGUGCGAGACUGGAGAAUGUUUCACCGAUAUGCCAUCCACUUCAUCUGUCUUGAGAGUGGUGUCACUGCCCAAGUUGGUGUGGUCAGUCUGCCCUCUACAACCUCUUAUUUACAGGUGGGAUACCUGAACUAUCCCUGUGGUGCUAUGUAUGCUGUUUCCAGCUGUGAUCUCAAUUUGUGGGAAAUUUCAGAAACACAGGAACCUGCCAAUGAAUAUUCUUUCAGUUUUGUCGCUGGUGGCGACACCUUCCAUGUGGAAGUUAAGGGGGAGACCACUCCAGUUUGGUUCCACUGCCAGGAUCGAGGAAGCAAAAUUUUUGAAAAAUUUUGCCAAUACAAAGUCAACGGUAAAAAAGGAUAUGGACUGGUGGAGUUUCAUUAUAGAAAUAUUGAGGGUCCAUCCUAUGUCCAACCAGAGUCACUUCCCUUGCUUCAGGAGCCUUCAGCAGAAGAGGUCAAGGCCCAGACUGAGGCUCUGACCUUGACCUUUGAUGAGGAUGCUUGUAGAAGCAGUAAACUUGUGGGGGGCAAGGGGGCACAACUGGGUCAGUUGUCCUCCAUACAGAAUAAAGUGAAUGCUAUGGUACCUAGGGGCUUCAGUCUAACGUUGGCUGCCUUCGUCACACAGGUCGAGAACAAUGGAGAUAUCAUGAAAGCUGUUGACCAUAUUGUGAAAGCUAUAAGGGAUGCAGAUGAUGACCAGCUAAAGCUGGCCUGUUCUGACACAGUGGAACUCUUCGCCUCCAUACCCAUCGCCAAGGAGAUCGAGGAGGUCAUCAUGGUUAAGAUGAAGUACCUGUUUGGUCAGGACUGUUUCACAAAGCUCUUUGCUGUCAGGUCUUCUGCAACAGGAGAAGAUGGAAGUGAAGCUUCCUCAGCUGGACAAAUGGAAACAUAUAUAGGGGUCAGAGGUCAUCCCGAGAUCCUGGACUCUGUGAGAAAGUGUUGGGCAUCUGCAUUCACUUACCAGGCUGUUCAGUAUCGCAGACAGAGUGGUCAGCCAAUCAAAGUUGCAGUUGGUGUGGUUAUCCAGGAAAUGGUCAAAUCAGAAGUGUCCGGCGUCAUUUUCACCAAUGACCCUGGAACAGGCAGCCCAAAUCUGAUGAUUCUGGAUGCGUCUUAUGGUUUAGGAGAGGCUGUGGUGUCAGGGAAGACAACUCCAGACACCAUUACUGUAUUCCGUAGUUGGGACAAUCAGGUCUCGAUCAAGCACAAAAAACUUGGUGACAAGAAAGUCAAAAUGACUCUUAAAGAGGAGGGUGGUGUGGAGGAGACGGAGACGGAGAUGGACAGUGCAGCCUCCUGUUGUCUGACUGAUGAUCAGAUCUUACAGGUGUCACAAAUCGCAUUACAGGUUGAGACUUACUUUGGAAGUCCUAGAGACAUUGAAUGGGCGUUGUCAGCUGAUCAGUUCUACCUUCUACAGGCUCGACCAAUCACAACCCUGGACCAGGAGACGGAGGAAGAGCUAUGGUGUGAAUUUGAUGAUGCUCUGGUCACUCACAGAGAAUGUCUCACCACUGCCAAUAUUGGCGAGAUGAUGCCAGGGGCCGUAACUCCACUGACUCACUCUGUAUUUUUGGCAGCAAUCCGAAAGGGCACGGAGUAUCUAGCGGAGGUGAUGGCCGGUGGACCAAACAUACGGUACCAUGCCAAGGGGAUAAUUACCCAUUCAAACAGAUGUUUCAUCAAUAUGAAUAUGGUUGGGUUAAUUAGUAUCAACAAUAUCGUCGGGAAUCUGGAAGGUGGCCAGCUGAGCAUCCUUGGACAGACUGUUGAUGGUCUAACUGUUGAGGAGAUCAAGCAAUAUGUAGGGAAAAGAAGGACAUUUUGGGACAGACUGAAAAUCUUCAUCCGCUUCCUCUCAAUAAAGAACAAAGACAUCAAAGAUUUUGAUGACUGGUACAAUGUUGUUGACAACUACAGAAUUGGUGCCGAUGUUGAGGAUGCCCACAGUCUGUACUUAGCGAUCAGUGAUAAACUACCAGACUACUACAGGCUGUGGAAAGGAAACAUUGUGAAGAGUUCUAUGUCUGGUUUGUGGUCUAACAUAGUUUCAGGGAUCCUCUCCAAGGGAAAGUCAGUGUACACCCAAGAAAACAUGGCUGACAUGGCACUACUGUUGUCUGAAUGUGAAGAGGUUUACAGUGCUGAAGUACCGACAGCUAUGCAGGAACUUGCUAGAGAGGUAUGUGCUGCAGGUAUAACGGACAAGUUUCUCGCUGUCACUGAUGAAGAAUGUGUUCAUUUAAUGACAUCUGAGGAGUUCCCGAAACUGAAACAGAAAUUUGAUGUAUUCCUUUCACGACACGGCCAUCGUUAUGUGAGAGAGGCUGAAUUCUUUGAGAGGUCCUGGCGAGCCCAGCCUGAGAGACUGUCAUGUGUUUUGAAGACGAUUCUGAGGACAAAGUCCUUUGAGCCGAAGGAGAAGGUGAAAGUGAGCCUGACCGAUAUAUUUGCCGAGAUGCAGACUCCCAUCUCCUGGACAACCAGGCAUGGAAUUCAUGAUUUUGACAAGUCCUAAAGUGGAUGGUACCAAAGGCGAGAAAGGCUGUAGGAAAUCGUGAAUGGGGCAAGUCCUUGGCAGUGAAGGUCAGUGACAUCUUUAAGGA
rnacentral:misc_RNA from 1 species